AGUUAGUGAUGAUUAAUAUAUAAGAGUAGUGGACAGAAGCGAUUUCUGACUAACUGUAUACACUGAUGCU
rnacentral:snoRNA from 1 species